rnacentral:rRNA from 1 species
UACAGAGGGUGCAAGCGUUGUUCGGAAUUAUUGGGCGUAAAGCGCGUGUAGGCGGCCUGGCAAGUCGGGUGUGAAAGCCCUCAGCUCAACUGAGGAAGUGCGCCCGAAACUGCUGGGCUCGAGUGCCGGAGAGGGUAGCGGAAUUCCCCAAGUAGAGGUGAAAUUCGUAGAGAUGGGGAGGAACACCGGUGGCGAAGGCGGCUACCUGGACGGUGACUGACGCUGAGACGCGAAAGCGUGGGGAGCAAACAGG